GACGAACGCUGGCGGCGUGCUUAACACAUGCAAGUCGAACGGAAAGGCCCUGCUUUUGUGGGGUGCUCGAGUGGCGAACGGGUGAGUAACAUGUGAGUAACCUGCCCUUGACUUUGGGAUAACUUCAGGAAACUGGGGCUAAUACCGGAUAGGAGCUCCUGCUGCAUGGUGGGGGUUGGAAAGUUUCGGCGGUUGGGGAUGGACUCGCGGCUUAUCAGCUUGUUGGUGGGGUAGUGGCUUACCAAGGCUUUGACGGGUAGCCGGCCUGAGAGGGUGACCGGCCACAUUGGGACUGAGAUACGGCCCAGACUCCUACGGGAGGCAGCAGUGGGGAAUAUUGCACAAUGGGCGGAAGCCUGAUGCAGCAACGCCGCGUGCGGGAUGACGGCCUUCGGGUUGUAAACCGCUUUCGCCUGUGACGAAGCGUGAGUGACGGUAAUGGGUAAAGAAGCACCGGCUAACUACGU
rnacentral:rRNA from 1 species